rnacentral:lncRNA from 1 species
UAAUGGUUUGAGAGACGCUGAAUUUGUCCCACAGCUUGUCGAACUUUGUCAUGGGUAAGUAGCUUCUCUUCUAACUAUAGCCAUAUUUUUUAUAUCACUGAUGCAGGCAACUUAGAAUUCCUAUUUUCAAUCCUUCAUGCCGAAUUUUAUGAAAUUUCAGUAAAUAUGUCCAGAACAACGAAAGGUAGACUUCUCUUUGACUUUCGAGUUCUUUUAUAAAAAUAAUAAUUAUAGUUUCAAAGUCCAAU